GGGGUUGUUUCUCAGGGAUAGAGAGCUCGCCUUGCAUGUGAGAGGCCCUGAGUUCGAUUCUUAGCACCA
rnacentral:tRNA from 1 species